AUUGAACGCUGGCGGCAGGCCUAACACAUGCAAGUCGAACGAGUGGCGGACGGGUGAGUAAUGUCUAGGAAACUGCCCGAUGGAGGGGGAUAUCUACUGGAGACGGUAGCUCAUACCGCAUACCAUCGGAUGUGCACAGAUGGGAUUAGCUCUUAGGUGGGGUAACGGCUCACCUAGGCGACGAUCCCUAGCUGGUCUGAGAGGAUGACCAGCCAAACUGGAACUGAGACACGGUCCAGACUCCUACGUGAGGCAGCAGUGGGGAAUAUUGCACAAUGGGCGCAAUCCUGAUGCAGCCAUGCCGCGUGUAUGAAGAAGGCCUUCGGGUUGUAAAGUACUUUCAGCGAGGAGGCGUUACUCGCAGAAGAAGCACCGGCUAACUCCGUGCCAGCAGCCGCGGUAAUAC
rnacentral:rRNA from 1 species